GACGAGUGGCGAACGGGUGAGUAAUACAUCGGAACGUGCCCAGUAAUGGGGGAUAGCCCGGCGAAAGCCGGAUUAAUACCGCAUACGACCUAUGGGUGAAAGCAGGGGAUUGCUUGGCAACAAGUGACCUUGCGUUAUUGGAGCGGCCGAUGGCAGAUUAGGUAGUUGGUGGGGUAAAAGCCUACCAAGCCUGCGAUCUGUAGCUGGUCUGAGAGGACGACCAGCCACACUGGGACUGAGACACGGCCCAGACUCCUACGGGAGGCAGCAGUGGGGAAUUUUGGACAAUGGGCGCAAGCCUGAUCCAGCCAUGCCGCGUGCGGGAAGAAGGCCUUCGGGUUGUAAACCGCUUUUGUCAGGGAAGAAACGCUCUGGGCUAAUAUCCUGGGGUAAUGACGGUACCUGAAGAAUAAGCACCGGCUAACUACGUGCCAGCAGCCGCGGUAAUACGUAGGGUGCAAGCGUUAAUCGGAAUUACUGGGCGUAAAGCGUGCGCAGGCGGUCUUGCAAGACAGAUGUGAAAUCCCCGGGCUCAACCUGGGAACUGCAUUUGUGA
rnacentral:rRNA from 1 species